GUGAGCCCGAUAUCCCCAUGGAAUCACGCCCGGCCUACGGACAUCGGGGAGAAGUCCCCGUCAGGCCGUCCCUCGUCUCGCUCGCUCGACUCCGCGAGGUCGAAGCGGAAGUGCCGCCGGCGGCGCCGCCGGCGCUUGAUCUCCUCCUCCAACCUCGCGACGACGGCUUCUCCUCCGCUGGUGUCCCUGCAGCCUCCUCCUUCGCAUCAGAAAAUUCACGGCCAGGAGCAAGAGGAGAUCCUGGCGUGGGUUCAACAUAGCGGGCGAUCUGAUACGCACGCUCCUCUCCAUUCUCCCUGACCCCUCCCAGAUCGACGCUUGUAACAGGGAAGAGGCAAAGAUCCAGGCUUGGGUUAACCUGGAGAGUGCCAAGGCUGAAGCACAAUCAAGAAAGCUGGAGAGCGCUUACUGCACAGAAGGUAGAAGUUAUUUUGUGGCAAGACGCAAGAGUGGAGCAAAUGCAGAUUAGUUGAUUAUUGUGUUGCUCGUGACUUUGAAAUCACAGAUAUUGGUGCUUGAGUUAUUCCUACUUUCCGAAUUUUGUUCCAGUUCAAAAAUGGUCAAAUAAAUGGCUCAUGUCACAUUUUAUUUUGUAUUAUCUAUCUGCGAUUGUGCAUGGACAUGACUAUAUGUAAGCCAUUCAUCUUGGUUGGCAGUCUAUCCUGCUAUUCAGAAGGCCACAUGAUUAUGUUGUUGAUCUA